GGUUCAAAAGUGAAAGACGGUCUUGCUGUCACUUAUAGAUGGAUCCGCGCUGCAUUAGCUAGUUGGUAAGGUAACGGCUUACCAAGGCAACGAUGCAUAGCCGACCUGAGAGGGUGAUCGGCCACACUGGAACUGAGACACGGUCCAGACUCCUACGGGAGGCAGCAGUAGGGAAUCUUCCGCAAUGGGCGAAAGCCUGACGGAGCAACGCCGCGUGAGUGAUGAAGGUCUUCGGAUCGUAAAACUCUGUUAUUAGGGAAGAACAUAUGUGUAAGUAACUGUGCACAUCUUGACGGUACCUAAUCAGAAAGCCACGGCUAACUACGUGCCAGCAGCCGCGGUAAUACGUAGGUGGCAAGCGUUAUCCGGAAUUAUUGGGCGUAAAGCGCGCGUAGGCGGUUUUUUAAGUCUGAUGUGAAAGCCCACGGCUCAACCGUGGAGGGUCAUUGGAAACUGG
rnacentral:rRNA from 1 species